UACGAAGGGGGCUAGCGUUGCUCGGAAUUACUGGGCGUAAAGGGCGCGUAGGCGGACAGUUUAGUCAGAGGUGAAAGCCCAGGGCUCAACCUUGGAAUUGCCUUUGAUACUGGCUGUCUUGAGUUCGGGAGAGGUGAGUGGAAUGCCGAGUGUAGAGGUGAAAUUCGUAGAUAUUCGGCGGAACACCAGUGGCGAAGGCGGCCUUCUGGGAUGAUCCUGACGCUCAGACACGAAAGCUAAGGGAGCGAACGGG
rnacentral:rRNA from 1 species